rnacentral:rRNA from 1 species
GACGAACGCUGGCGGCGUGCUUAACACAUGCAAGUCGAACGGUGACGAGGAGCUUGCUCCUCCGAUCAGUGGCGAACGGGUGAGUAACACGUGAGCAACCUGCCCCAGACUCUGGGAUAACAGUUGGAAACAGCUGCUAAUACCGGAUACGAGACGGAGAGGCAUCUCUACCGUCUGGAAAGUUUUUCGGUCUGGGGAUGGACUCGCGGCCUAUCAGCUAGUUGGUGAGGUAAUGGCUCACCAAGGCGACGACGGGUAGCCGGCCUGAGAGGGCGACCGGCCACACUGGGACUGAGACACGGCCCAGACUCCUACGGGAGGCAGCAGUGGGGAAUAUUGCACAAUGGGCGAAAGCCUGAUGCAGCGACGCCGCGUGAGGGAUGACGGCCUUCGGGUUGUAAACCUCUUUCAGCAGGGAAGAAGCGCAAGUGACGGUACCUGCAGAAGAAGCACCGGCUAACUACGUG